rnacentral:rRNA from 1 species
AUUGAACGCUGGCGGCAUGCCUAACACAUGCAAGUCGAGCGGAUGAAGGGAGCUUGCUCCUGGAUUCAGCGGCGGACGGGUGAGUAAUGCCUAGGAAUCUGCCUGGUAGUGGGGGAUAACGUCCGGAAACGGGCGCUAAUACCGCAUACGUCCUGAGGGAGAAAGUGGGGGAUCUUCGGACCUCACGCUAUCAGAUGAGCCUAGGUCGGAUUAGCUAGUUGGUGGGGUAAAGGCCUACCAAGGCGACGAUCCGUAACUGGUCUGAGAGGAUGAUCAGUCACACUGGAACUGAGACACGGUCCAGACUCCUACGGGAGGCAGCAGUGGGGAAUAUUGGACAAUGGGCGAAAGCCUGAUCCAGCCAUGCCGCGUGUGUGAAGAAGGUCUUCGGAUUGUAAACCACUUUUAGUUGGGACGAAGGGCAGUUAGUUAAUACCUUGCUGUUUUGACGGUACCAACAGAAUAAGCACCGGCUAACUUCGUG